CAGUCGCCGCGGGAAUACGUAGGGUGCGAGCGUUAAUCGGAAUUACUGGGCGUAAAGCGUGCGCAGGCGGUUGUGUAAGACAGGUGUGAAAUCCCCGGGCUUAACCUGGGAACUGCGCUUGUGACUGCACAGCUAGAGUAUGGCAGAGGGGGGUGGAAUUCCACGUGUAGCAGUGAAAUGCGUAGAGAUGUGGAGGAACACCGAUGGCGAAGGCAGCCCCCUGGGCCAAUACUGACGCUCAUGCACGAAAGCGUGGGGAGCAAACAGGAUUAGAUACCCCUGUAGUCCCCGUCUCUUAUAC
rnacentral:rRNA from 1 species